GACGAACGCUGGCGGCGUGGAUUAGGCAUGCAAGUCGAACGGUAGGAUACCUUCGGGUAUCUGAGAGUGGCGAACGGGUGAGUAACACGUAGGUGAUCUACCCUCAAGAUUGGGACAACCCAGGGAAACUUGGGCUAAUACCGGAUGAAAGCAGCAGUGAUGUUGUUUGAAAGGUGGCGUAAGCUGCCGUUUGGGGAUGAGCCUGCGCUCUAUUAGUUAGUUGGCGGGGUAAAGGCCCACCAAGGCGAUGAUAGAUAGGCGGCCUUAACGGGUGGUCGCCCACACUGGGAUUGAGAUACGGCCCAGACUCCUACGGGAGGCAGCAGUCGAGAAUAGUCUACAAUGGCCGAAAGGCUGAUAGUGCGACGCCGCGUGAACGAAGAAGCCCUUCGGGUGUAAGUUCUUUUAUAUGUGAGCAGUGCUUUCUAUGUGAACAGCAUGGGGAGAGAGAUAUUAGCAUAUGAAUAAGCAACGGCUAACUCCGUGCCAGCA
rnacentral:rRNA from 1 species